CACUUGUCUUUUAAAUAGAGACCUGUAUGAAUGGCAUAACGAGGGCUGAACUGUCUCCUCCCUCCAGUCAAUGAAAUUGAUCUGUCCGUGCAGAAGCGGACAUAACCACAUAAGACGAGAAGACCCUGUGGAGCUUAAGACACAAAAACAGCCCACGUAAAACCCCUGGCAAAACCAGAAAAAACACUUGGCCCCUGUACUAUGUCUUUGGUUGGGGCGACCGCGGGGAAAGAAGAAACCCCCACGUGGAACGGGCACCCCGAAACAAGACCGACAGGUCGAACAAGCAGAAAUUCUGACCAAAAAGAUCCGGCAGGCCGAUUAACGGACCAAGUUACCCCAGGGAUAACAGCGCAAUCCCCUUUUAGAGCCCAUAUCGACAAGGGGGUUUACGACCUCGAUGUUGGAUCAGGACAUCCUAAUGGUGCAGCCGCUAUU
rnacentral:rRNA from 1 species